UUUUACAAUUGCCCUUUUCCCAUUCUACAGUAGGAGAGCAUACCUCUCAUCUGUGCAUCCAUCCUUCCAUCCAUCUAUCCAGAAUUGUACUCUUGUGCAUUUCCUACAGAUGUAAAUGUUACCAAACCAGGUUCAUCUGCCUGAUGGACAGCAAGGUUUGAAGCAGAGAAAGGGUUUAUUCAUGAGGCUGCCAAGCAAGAAGACAGGAGAACAAGUCUCAGAUCAGCUUCCCCAAAGGGAGUACAUGGACCAAAACAUCUGAAUUAGAGGACCUAAAGGAACAGAAAAGGACCAGAAAAAGUCAUGGUCAAGGAAAAGAACCAGAAGAGAAGACCAAAGAGACUCCUGUCCAGGAGGAGACAGCCAGAGGAAAAGACAAUCAGAGACACCAUGAGACAAUGGAAUGGAGGUGGAUGUGGUGCAAAGUGAUGCAGGGAUCACCAGGGAUCAACAGGUAGCACCAGAAGCCAGAAGAGAGACCUGGAUGGAUUCUCCCCUGCAGCAUCCAGAACUGCCCCUGCCCACACCUUGAUUUUGGACUUCUGGCCUCCAC